GUUAGGGUUAGGGUUAGGGUUGGAGCUAGGGUUAGGGUUAGGGUUAGGGUUGGAGCUAGGGUUAGGGUUAGGGUUAGGGUUGGAGCUAGGGUUAUAGUUAGGGUUAGGGUUGGAGCCAGGGUUAGGGUUAGGGUUAGGGUUGGAGCUAGGGUUAGGGUUAGGGUUAGGAUUGGAGCUAGGGUUAGGGUUAGGGUUGGAGCUAGGGUUAGGGUUAGGGUUAGGGUUAGGGUUAGGGUUAGGGUUAGGGUUAGGGUUAGGUUGGAGCUAGGGUUAGGGUUAGGGUUGGAGCUAGGGUUAGGGUUAGGGUUAGGGUUGGAACUAGGGUUAAAGUUAGGUUUAGGGUUGGAGCUAGGGUAAGGUUUAGGGUUAGGGUUGAAGCUAGGGUUGGGGAUAGGGUUGGAGCUAGGGUUAGG